rfam:Rhynchosporium commune strain TK7 genome assembly, contig: RCO7_scaffold042
UUAGCUCAGUUGGUUAGAGCGUGGUGCUAAUAACGCCAAGGUCGCGAGUUCGACCCUCGUA